AGCCUGUGACCACCAAAGCCUGAACAGGCACAUCCCCACAGGCUUCUCUGCUGUCCCUGAUAUGUGCCUUCUGGGCCACCUCGAGAGGCAGGGCUGCGAGCCUCAGUCCAUUGGGGCUGUUCCCAAGAGACACCCAGAUGCUUUGUCAAGGGAAGCCCCAGCUUCCUAAGUGCAGGAUCACCCCAGGAACAAAGUCAAGAGGUGUCCUUUGCCAGCCAUGAUGCUAUCUCACCUGUUGCUAUGCAGGCCGCCAAAGAAGAGCUCCUUGCUGCUGCAAAGCUCCUGAGGUGGAGGGAGCUCAAAGACCUGGUGCAGACACAUCAGACAUGGAGGAUUGGUGAGGGCUGACAGCACCUGAGGGACCAAAGCAUGCCUAUGUGGAUGAGAUCUGCAGCACCCUUCAGCCCCUGCAGACAGACAGCAAUGAAAUCGUCUCUUGCCUGGCAACUCAGACCAUCUUGAUCCUGAGGGCUUUAAAUCUACAGCAAAAACCAAGAUUCAAUCUAUGUACACUGUUCUUCUGGCGUCGCUGAGCCAGCUGGAGGAUGGCUGUGAUUUAAUAAAUCUGAAACAAUAGGUCCAAACCCAUGGUGUCCUUCAGAUGUGCAGCAUCCUGAGCAGACUGCAUCCUGCUUGGCCUGUACCACUGCCUGCAGGACAACUUCCCCUCAGCACACCACAGAUCCAGGUUUGUUUGAGAAGUUGACCCCUUGCUGAGGCUUUUCCCAGGAGAAGCCUCAUUUGUCUCUCCUCAGGGCAGUCCCUCCACCACACAGCGAGGACAGGGCACAGAAAGAGUGGCCCCAACUCUGCAUCCCCAUGGGUGUCCAGGCACUCAACAAGGCAUCUGCUGUUGCUGCAUCACCACCUCCCCUCACCAUAAUAGUUUUGGAAGGGUUUCCAAGCAGCUUACUGUGGUGUUAAGGGGACCAGAGGGAAACCCCAGGGGCCCUAGAGAGACUGGAGGACAAACAGGAAGUCUCGGUCACCGCCACCACAUCAGAGGAUGGGCCUCUGCCACCAUGUUGCUGCUGACAGGGGCAGCUGUCCCGACCCACUGGUCAGGGGCAUGAUGUUCAUUAUAAAUCCUUGUCAGGCUGAGCAAAGACACUGGACAUGUGUCUGGGAACUUAUUGUACAGUCCCCAUAACUCUGGCAACCAGCCCACUAUUCAGACUGAAAAGGUGUUGGCCAACAAGCCCUUAAAUUCUUACAGCACACUUCCACAAGAGCGAUGGCUAACAAGCCCUUAAUUUUGUACAGUACACAGCAAUAAGUUCGC